GGCUUAGAGUUUGAUCAUGGCUCAGGAUGAACGCUGGCGGCGUGCCUAACACAUGCAAGUCGAGCGAAGCACUUUGCUUUGAAUCUUUCGGGAGGACGAGUGAUUUGACUGAGCGGCGGACGGGUGAGUAACGCGUGGGCAACCUGCCUCACACAGGGGGAUAACAGUUAGAAAUGACUGCUAAUACCGCAUAAGGCCACAGCACCGCAUGGUGCAGGGGUAAAAACUCCGGUGGUGUGAGAUGGGCCCGCGUCUGAUUAGGUAGUUGGUGAGGUAACGGCUCACCAAGCCGACGAUCAGUAGCCGACCUGAGAGGGUGACCGGCCACAUUGGGACUGAGACACGGCCCAAACUCCUACGGGAGGCAGCAGUGGGGAAUAUUGCACAAUGGGGGAAACCCUGAUGCAGCGACGCCGCGUGAGCGAUGAAGUAUUUCGGUAUGUAAAGCUCUAUCAGCGGGGAAGAAACUGACGGUACCUGACUAAGAAGCACCGGCUAAAUACGUGCCAGCAGCCGCGGUAAUACGUAUGGUGCAAGCGUUAUCCGGAUUUACUGGGUGUAAAGGGAGCGUAGACGGACUUGCAAGUCUGAAGUGAAAGCCCGGGGCUCAACCCCGGGACUGCUUUGGAAACUGUAGGUCUAGGGUGCUGGAGAGGUAAGUG
rnacentral:rRNA from 1 species